rnacentral:rRNA from 1 species
UGGGGGAUAUUGCACAAUGGGCGAAAGCCUGAUGCAGCGACGCCGCGUGGGGGAUGAAGGCCUUCGGGUUGUAAACUUCUUUUGCUCUGAACAAGGCGCACCAUGGGGUGUGUUGAGUGUAGGGGUUGAUUAGCGCCGGCUAACUACGUGCCAGCAGCCGCGGUAAUACGUAGGGCGCGAGCGUUGUCCGGAAUUAUUGGGCGUAAAGGGCUUGUAGGUGGCUGGUUGCGUCUGUCGUGAAAGCUCAUGGCUUAACUGUGGGUUUGCGGUGGGUACGGGCUGGCUUGAGUGAAGUAGGGGAGGCUGGAAUUCCUGGUGUAGCGGUGGAAUGCGCAGAUAUCAGGAGGAAUACCGGUGGCGAAGGCGGGUCUCUGGGCUGUUACUGACACUGAGGAGCGAAAGCAUGGGGAGCGAACAGG